UUUUCUCAUGAAGAUAACAGAGCUGUUAAUGCAGCAAUAAUAAAUGGAGUCAGAAGUACGGAUACUUCCACACCAUCAAAUGUCAUAAGAGCUGCCAUGAGGGUGCAUUUCAAGACCAAAAAAAGACAUAAAAAAAACAAAGACACCAACAGACAAGUAGAAGUGCUCCAAGACCAGCGCAUUAGGAGUAGGAAGAAUACAAAACGUUUGAAACGCUGCAAAGCUCUAUUCCAAUCUACAUCUAUUGGGGAAGAGGAAAAAGAGAAAUAC